ACGACUCAAAAAUUAUUUCAAAGUACAUUCUCAUAGUCAGAAGAUCAUCUGUUAAAAUCCAUUUCUUAGAUAUAUGAACAUAAAUCGGCACAUGUUUAAUAAACGAGUACGAAGUCAUUCAUCUUUCCUUAUCAGUGGCAAGUGAUUUGGCUUCGUUUCUGAUAGUGAUACGUUAAUAAGACCAUCGAUAAUUAUCAGUUCUCUUCUUUCGCUAAGCCGGUUAUUUUUAUAACCGCGGGUAAGAAAGCCCCAUAGAUACGAACUUCGCCGAGUUACUACUAAGCGAGAUCCAUGGAUGCUAAAGCUCGCUCUUUAACAACCGAGUCUAGAAAGUAGAGAAGAUAAAGACAUUAAUGUCUGUAUUCUCAGUAAACUAGUUUUUGAAAGCGUAAAUACAUUUUCUGUCAAUUAUCUUGAGUUAACUUCGCCAAUAUUUUGACUCUUUGCUACGUAA